rnacentral:rRNA from 1 species
UACGUAGGGGGCUAGCGUUGUCCGGAAUCAUUGGGCGUAAAGAGCGUGUAGGCGGCUCGUUAAGUCCGCUGUAAAAGUCAAAGGCUCAACCUUUGAAUGUCAGUGGAUACUGCCGGGCUAGAGUCCGGAAGAGGCGAGUGGAACUCCUGGUGUAGCGGUGGAAUGCGCAGAUAUCAGGAAGAACACCAACGGCGAAGGCAGCUCGCUGGGACGGUACUGACGCUGAGACGCGAAAGCGUGGGGAGCGAACAGG